GAGGGGAUGGCGACCGGGGCGCCAGACUCGCAGGCGCGGUUCGGUCAGUCCGUGAAGGGGCUUCUCACGGAGAAGGUGAACACCUGCGGGACCGACGUCAUCGCCCUCACCAAGCAGGUGCUGAAGGGCUCGCGGAGCUCCGAGCUGCUAGGUCAGGCAGCUCGGAACAUGGUACUACAGGAAGAUGCCAUCUUGCACUCAGAAGAUAGUUUAAGGAAAAUGGCAAUAAUAACUACACAUCUUCAGUACCAGCAAGAAGCUAUUCAGAAGAAUGUUGAGCAGUCAUCGGAUCUACAGGACCAGCUGAAUCAUCUGUUGAAAUAGAAUGGUUUAUAAGAAGGCUUUGCCUGAUGCUGAGGAGGAAAUAUCUACCACAACCAUUGUGCUUUCAGUUCUUAAUUUAUUAAUGGAUUGGGAGAAAGCUGACAUAAGAAAAUGAAGUUUUGCCCUGGCCAAUGUGGCUCAGAUGGUUGAGUGUCAUCUAAUGCACCAAAAGGUCCGGUUCAGUUCCUGGUCAGCGCAUAUGCCCGAGUUGCAGCCUCAACCCCCAGUAAGGGGUGUGCAGGAGGCAGCUGAUCAAUGUUUCAUUGAUGUCUCUCUCCCUCUUCCUUCCUCUCUCUCUUAAAAAAAUAUCAAUUAAAACAUAUUUUAAAAAUGAAGUUUUUACUGGAAGAAAAAAAAAGUUCAAUUUAGUUCAUAUUACGUAUCAUCACAUAUCAAAUUGACUAAUCAUAUCAGACUGCAUUUACCCUCAUUUUACAUGUUCAUGUUAACUAUGGUUAAAAAAACCAAAAACAGUCCUAGCUGGUUUGGCUCAGUGGAGAGAGCAUCAGCCUGCGGACCAAAGGGUCCCGGGUUUGAUUCUGGUCAAGGGCACGUACCUUGGUUGCAGACUCCUUCCUGGCCCGGGCCCUAGUCUGGGCUCAAGCAGGAGGCAACCAGUUGAUGUUUCUCUCACAUAGAUAUUUCUCUCUGUCGUUCCCUCUCUCUUCCACUCUCCCUAAAAAAUCAAUGGAAAAAUAUCCUCGGGUGAUAUUUUACACCAAAACCCCCCCAAAACACAAAUGAGGUGUGAAGAAAUUCACUUAUGCAUUUAUUCUAUAAGCAUUUAUUACAAUUAUUAAAUGUAAACAAACUCAAUAUAACUUAAAAAGAAGGGUUGCAAACUUACAGCAAAUGCCAUAUUAAGAGUAAAACAUGUCCUGGCUGGUUUAGGUCAAAAUUCCCAAUUAAGGACGUGUACCUUGGUUGCAGGUUUUCCAACCCUGUUAGGGUCGAGUGUGGGAGGCAACUAAUCGAUGUGACUCUCUCACAUCCAUGUUUCUCACUCUCCCCCCUUCCUCCCUUCCCUCCACUGUCACUAAAAAAAAAAAAAAAUCAAUGGAAAAAGUAUCCUCAGGUGAGAAAAAAAAAAGAGUAAAACAUUGGUUGCUUGAACCUGAGUCUUGGCUUCUUGCCUUCCUCCCUGAACAACAUGAGCUCUAGCUUUCCCACAAACCACGGGACCCUGGGCUCCAUGCAAUCCCCCAGCCACCAACCAGCUCGACCAGCCAACAGCAUGGCCAGCAUUUAUGUAGGGGCUCAGGCUCCCAGACCUCUGUGUCUCACUCUACCGGUAUGUGGGGUAGCUGAGGGUCCAGGGGCUUGGCUGCAGUGAUAGCCAGAGGUCUGGCGGGCAUAGGGGGCUAUCUAGAGUGAGGAGGAGACUAUGCCAUGCCUAAGUAACCUGGCCUCCUACCUGGAGAGGGAGAGAAAUCUGGAGGCUGAUAAUCAGCCUUCACUAGGUGUUCCUGGAGAGCAAAAUCCAGGAACACCUAGGGAAGAAGCCACCCCAGGUAGGGGCUGAGGGCAUUAUUUCAAGAUCAUCGAGAACCUGAGGGCUCAGAUCUUCACAAGUUCUGUGGAAAAUGCCCCCACCAUUCUACAGAUUGACAGUGCCUGUCUUGCUGCUGCUGACUUCAGAGUCAAGUAUGAGACAGAGCUGGCCAUGUGCCAGUCUGUGGAGAGUGACAUCAGUGGUCUCUGAAAGGUCACUGGAGACAGAGAGGGGGGCUCUCAAGGAGGAGCUGCUCUUCAAGAAGAACCACAAGGAGGAAGUAAAUGGUCUACAGAAUCAGACUGCCAACUCUGGGUUGACCAUGGAGUUGGAUGGCCCCAAAUCUCAGGACCUCAGAAGAUCCUGGUGGACACCCAGGCCCAGUAUGAAGAGCUGACUCGGAAGAACCGAGAGGAGCUAGACAAGUACUGAUCCUAGCAGACUGAGGAGAGCACCACAGUGGUCACCUUGCAGACUGCUGAGAUAGGAGCUGCUGGGAGGAUGCAGAGCUGAGACGUACGUCCAGUCCUUGGAGCUCGACCUGGACUGGAUGAGGAAUCUGAAGGCCAGUUGGGAGAACAGCCUGAGGGAGGUGGAGAUGCACUAUGUCACGAAGACAGAACAGCUCAACCAGAUCCUGCUGCCCCUGGAGGCAGAGCUGGCCCAGAUCUGGGCAGAGGAGCAGUGCCAGGCUCAGGAGUAUGAGGCCCUGCUGAACAUCAGGGUAAAACUGGAGUGUGAGAUCACCACCUGCCCCACCUGCUGCAAGAAGGGGAGGACUUCCGUCUUGGUGAUGCCCAGGACAACAGCCCCUCCAUACAAUCCAUCCGAGAGACCAUCACCCACAGGAUUGUGGAUGGAAAAGUGGCAUCUGAGGUCAAUGACACCAAAGUUACGGGCAGCAGAAGUGGGGCACACCUUGUGGGGGCAGGAGGCCAAUAAAAAGUUCAGAGAUCA